GAUGAACGCUAGCUACAGGCUUAACACAUGCCAGUCGAGGGGAAACGACAUCGAAAGCUUGCUUUUGAUGGGCGUCGACCGGCGCACGGGUGAGUAACGCGUAUCCAACCUGCCCACCACUUGGGGAUAACCUUGCGAAAGUAAGACUAAUACCCAAUGAUAUCUCUAGAAGACAUCUGAAAGAGAUUAAAGAUUUAUCGGUGAUGGAUGGGGAUGCGUCUGAUUAGCUUGUUGGCGGGGUAACGGCCCACCAAGGCAACGAUCAGUAGGGGUUCUGAGAGGAAGGUCCCCCACAUUGGAACUGAGACACGGUCCAAACUCCUACGGGAGGCAGCAGUGAGGAAUAUUGGUCAAUGGACGAGAGUCUGAACCAGCCAAGUAGCGUGCAGGAAGACGGCCCUAUGGGUUGUAAACUGCUUUUAGAAGGGAAUAAAGUGAGUCUCGUGAGACUUUUUGCAUGUACCUUAUGAAUAAGGACCGGCUAAUUCCGUG
rnacentral:rRNA from 1 species